rnacentral:rRNA from 1 species
CGGUAAUUCCAGCUCCAAUAGCGUAUACUAAUGUUGUUGCAGUUAAAAAGCUCGUAGUCGGAUUUCAGUAGGCUCAGUUAAGUCUCUAUUCUGAGUUCUUUAUGGGCCUGCUUCUUUGACAGAAACUUCUAUGUUAUUCAUUUAGCGUGGGUAGCGACUGUCUCUUUUACUUUGAGAAAAUUAGAGUGUUCAAAGCAGGUAUUCGCCUGAAUAUUACUCUUGGAAUAAUGCUAUAAGACUUUGGUUCUAAUGUAUUGGUGAUUGGGACCAGAGUAAUGAUUGAUAGGGACGGUUGGGGUCUUACGUACUGCAAAGCGAGAGGUGAAAUUUUUGGACCUUUGUAUGACGAACAACUGCGAAAGCAUUGGACUAGGACGUUCCCGUUGAUUAAGAACGAAAGUUGGGGGAUCGAAGACGAUCAGAUACCGUCGUAGUCUCAACCAUAAACUAUGCCAGCUAGGGAUCGGAGGAAGUUACAAGUUCGACUCCUUCGGCACCUUAUGAGAAAUCAAAGCAUUUGGGUUCCGGGGGGAGUAUGGUCGCAAGGCUGAAACUUAAAGGAAUUGACGGGAGGGCACCACCAGGAGUGGAGCCUGUGGCUUAAUUUGACUCAACACGGGAAAACUUACCAGGUCCGGACAUAGUAAGGAUUGACAGAUUGAAAGCUCUUUCUUGAUUCUAUGGGUGGUGGUGCAUGGCCGUUCUUAGUUGGUGGAGUGAUUUGUCUGGUUAAUUCCGUUAACGAACGAGACCUCAGCCUGCUAAAUAGUGUAAUUUUCUUUCGAAGGUUUGCACUUCUUAGAGGGACUACUUGUGAAACAACCAAGCGGAAGCUUGAGGCAAUAACAGGUCUGUGAUGCCCUUAGAUGUUCUGGGCCGCACAUGGGCUACACUGGUGCAUUCAACAAGCAUAAUCAUCUUAACCGAAGGGUUUGGAUAAUCUUUGAAAUUGCACCGUGCUUGGGAUAGACUAUUGCAAUUUUUAGUCUUCAACGAGGAAUUCCUAGUAAACGCAAGUCAUCAGCUUGCAUUGAUUACGUCCCUGCUCCUUGUACACACCGCCC